UAAUUCCUCUAUAUAAACCCCCCGUCUUCUUCAGAAAAGGGGUUGGAAAAAUUUUGGGAUAUAUUUUUAUCACAUAAAGAUAUAGAGGAAUUUUGAGGAAGCUCUCCGAUUUUUUUUCUUACUAAUACUUUAGCUGGAAUUUCCUAGCAAGAUAUAUUCAUAUAAAGGGGGAAGAAUAAUCGAGCUACGAAAGCAUAGCAAGUUAAGAAGCAAGGGGUUGUUGUUCAAGUUGUGGAAGCUCGUCUUUGCUAGCUCGUCCGUCUCUAGUUCGCUGCCCCGAAGGAGGAUUUUUAUUGGUAAAAGGGCCCAAAUCUAAGUAAUUAGUUUAGGACAGGUGGGCCAAAAUCCAAAUGAAUAAAUUUGGGCAAUUAAGUCCAAGUUUAAAUAUUUUUCUCUCUUUAUUUAUUAUUUGUUUGAAUUAAUUAGUGUUUUGGUAGAAUUUUAAUAAUCUCCUGAAG
rnacentral:lncRNA from 1 species